CCUGACAACAGGGAGUUCAGUAUCGGAGCCUCCUAGCCCUGAAGAUGCAGACUGACACGUUUGCGAAACGUCGGCACGAAGCUGAACACAGACGCGGCUUCCAUCCGGAAACUAUGAGAGGAAAUUGUAGCAUUGCCGAUAUAUAAAUGUUACACUUUGUUUGCUGGAGCUCAAUCAAAGAGAUGCUUCUGGCCUUUAGCAACUAUUAAACGUGACCAUGACCCAGAAUUAUAGAGAAGGCAGACCGGAAAAGUAAUUACACACUGGGUGUCGUUUAUAUAAUCCUUCAAAUAUGCAUAACCGGCUCUUUUGAAUUUUUGGCCAAUGAAAAACAACAUAUUUUUGGAUUUUUUAAUAAACCUGAUAUAUUAAAUUUAAAAGACAAAUAAAUACAUCCCCUAAUUAGUGAUAA